CCUAAUCCAAACAAAAAUAAACAAGCUGUUAAAAGCCAGUUGAAGGUGGUCAACACAAACCAAAUGAAGAUGUUGCACAUUCCACAAACAAUAAAAAAAGAAGGUAUGGCAAACUGUAGAUAUGGCUUAAACAGUCAGUCUACAUAUUUGUUAAUGUUCUAAUGUGUCAUAUCUUCUUGUUUGUGCUAAAGAUCAAGUUUUGUGUCCAACACACUUUAAUGAGACGUGCCCGACCCCUGACUUUGUCUACCCUACAUUAAGUUGUAAGUUUUUGACUGCUUUGCUUUACUUUGAAAAAGAAUCAUGCUUUCAAAAAGGACUUUUAUAUAUUUCGAUAUGAAACUCAAAAAUGUAUAUAAAUUGUUUUGGUGUAUUUUGUUUACACAGGCACACUUCAUGACAGUAAACAUCAGUAUCAAGAUGAUGUGAUUGAUCUAUACCAUAGAAUAAGCUGUGACACUAUGAGACGUACGUGCUACUGAUGCUUUUUGUUAUUUUUUUGGUGCAUUCCCACACUAUACAAACACGUUGCUUGGCUCCAAAGUGCAUACACUUUUGACUUUAUAAUGUCAUUCUCAUUUAUAGGUAAACAUUGUUUGAAGGGUGACAUAAUGAACAGCCAUCUUCCAGACAACCGAAACAGGCAGAGUAUUGUUUUCUUGUGUAUUGUCAUACACCUAAAGAGGAUUUUUUGUAAUUGUAUAGUUAUGGUGUUAUUCAUUCAUUAAUGUGUCCUUUCUUACCUUAAAUAACAUGUCAUUUUUCACUCCUUGUCUACAAUACCAAAUUCUGGAUUGAUGCCCCAGUACCAGAAGGCACUCCAAUCCCAGAGAGCAUCCCAUUGUGAGGUAACACAACGAAAAAAUAACAGGAUGGAGACUACCUGAUUCUUCACCUAUGGCCUUAGCUUCAAAUGCAAGAAGUCCAGCAACUGUCUGAGCUGGUGGAUAUUCUAUCAGAGACUGCAUGAACAACGUUAUGAACAGAAUGAUGUCUAAUUGUCUUAUGGCAAAGUUCAAUAUGAGGGGUGGUGGACAUCUGGAAAAGAAGUCUUUUAAAGGCACACCUUUGUAUUAUGUUAUUCAAGGUAAUUUGGGGAAUAUGUUGAUCUAAAAAAAAAACUCUUGUUCUUGUAUAUUGAUGUAAUUUGUAUUGCUAUGAUUUAUGUAUUUAGGGGACAUCACAGCUCACCUGUCUUUAUCAGAAAUGUCCUGUUAAUUUUUUGACAGUUACACACCUAGUUUAGGGUCUUUCUCAAGGGCACCACAGUGGUCUUGAAGAGCAAGGGGACAAAUGCUGUUGGUCCCACAACUGAUCUAAC